UUCCGGUUGAUCCUGCCGGACCCGACUGCUAUCGGAUUGGGACUAAGCCAUGCGAGUCAACUCGCAAGAGUGGCGCACGUCUCAGUAACACGUAGUCAAUCUACCCUGAGGACGGGGAUAACCCCGGGAAACUGGGGAUAAACCCCGAUAGGUCAUAGCUUCUGGAAUGGGCUAUGGCUCAAAUCUAUAUGGCCUUAGGAUGGGACUGCGUCCGUUCAGGUUGUUGGUGGGGUAAUGGCCCACCAAGCCUAUAACCGGUACGGGCUCUGAGAGGAGGAGCCCGGAGAUGGGCACUGGGACAAGGGCNCUGGUCCUAUGGGGCGCAGCAGGCGCGAAACCUCCGCAAUAGGCGAAAGCCCGACGGGGUCAGUCCGAGUGGCUCCUGCUAAAGGAGUCUUUUGUCAGCUGUAAACAGGCUGGUGAAUAAGGGGUGGGCAAGCCUGGUGUCAGCCGCCGCGGUAAUACCAGCACCCCGAGUGGUCGGGAUGAUUAUUGGGCCUAAAGC
rnacentral:rRNA from 1 species